rnacentral:rRNA from 1 species
CCUACGGGAGGCAGCAGUGGGGAAUAUUGCACAAUGGGCGCAAGCCUGAUGCAGCAACGCCGCGUGAGGGACGACGGCCUUCGGGUUGUAAACCUCUUUUAGUAGGGAAGAAGCGAAAGUGACGGUACCUGCAGAAAAAAGCACCGGCUAACUACGUGCCAGCAGCCGCGGUAAUACGUAGGGUGCAAGCGUUAUCCGGAAUUAUUGGGCGUAAAGAGCUCGUAGGCGGUUUGUCGCGUCUGCUGUGAAAACUGGAGGCUCAACCUCCAGCCUGCAGUGGGUACGGGCAAACUAGAGUGCGGUAGGGGAGAUUGGAAUUCCUGGUGUAGCGGUGGAAUGCGCAGAUAUCAGGAGGAACACCGAUGGCGAAGGCAGAUCUCUGGGCCGUAACUGACGCUGAGGAGCGAAAGCAUGGGGAGCGAACAGGAUUAGAUACCCUGGUAGUCCAUGACGUAACGUAGGUCGCUAGAUGUGGGACGACUCUACGGUUCCGUUCGUCGCNGCUACGCAUAGUCGCCCGCCGUCGGGAGUACGGCCGCCGACGGACGUAAACGUUAAACGUAGUAAGUUAGUUACGGUCGUUGAGACGUUCGCCGACGGACGACGACGAGGGAGGAGG